UGGGGAAUAUUGGACAAUGGGGGCAACCCUGAUCCAGCAAUGCCGCGUGUGUGAAGAAGGUCUUCGGAUUGUAAAGCACUUUCGACGGGGACGAUGAUGACGGUACCCGUAGAAGAAGCCCCGGCUAACUUCGUGCCAGCAGCCGCGGUAAUACGAAGGGGGCUAGCGUUGCUCGGAAUGACUGGGCGUAAAGGGCGUGUAGGCGGUUUACACAGUCAGAUGUGAAAUCCCCGGGCUUAACCUGGGAGCUGCAUUUGAUACGUGUAGACUAGAGUGUGAGAGAGGGUUGUGGAAUUCCCAGUGUAGAGGUGAAAUUCGUAGAUAUUGGGAAGAACACCGGUGGCGAAGGCGGCAACCUGGCUCAUGACUGACGCUGAGGCGCGAAAGCGUGGGGAGCAAACAGGUUAGAUACCCUGGUAGUCCACGCUGUAAACGAUGUGUGCUAGAU
rnacentral:rRNA from 1 species